ensembl:lncRNA
UUUUUAAAGGAUCUUUUUUGACCUCUGAAUAUUGAAACCCGGGGUAAUUGCAAACACAGGUUUUCAACAAUCAAGUUUAUUUUCUCUGCAGAAAACCUCACCCAUAUGCCUGCAGGGAAUAGCUGCAUUUGCCAAAUCCAACUUUUGGUGCACAGAAGAAGUGGGAUAUAUAAAUAGAAAGUGACUAGCUGCAUGCUUAGGGCAGGCAGCUGGAUCGCGCUCCCGUUUGCUGAGCUGCGAACUCCCGGCGUGGUCAGCGGAGGAGGAAAUCUCCACUUGAGGCAAGAUGAUACAUCCGUGUCCUCUCCUACCCUUCCAGACGGACCGCAUCAUCUCUCCAGCUGAGCGAUCUGAGGUGUUACAUCACUUCGCACCAGCCAGCGGGACGAACCGGAGCAGAGACGGUCCUGAAACGUCAGAGCAACAUGACAAAGUUGUGACUGCGUCCCAAGAGGAGAAUCAAGUGUCUGCCGGGCGGGAGGAAGGAGGGCUGACAUUUCUCCCCCAUCAGUCACUCGGAUCCACUGUAGUUCAGUGCACGCAUCCAGUAAAUUGUUUCAAUCACGUUGUGGUUAGGAGAAGUAUGUUCCGUAUAAUUCGCUGCAGCCUCCUGCCUGCGGACUCCACUGUUUAUAGCAUGGCCUUAAUUGCUUUCUUCUCUUUUUUCUCUUGGCUCAACUGAAUUCAUUUAGAAACAUAAUAUAAGUUAAUGAUAAAAUCCUUCACUAAACCACUGAUAGCUAAGUGUUGCCUGACUGGGACAGACAAAUAGCCCAUUUUGUCUGGAAUCCUUUUUUCUUCUGUAAGGCCUAUAGUACAUCUAAAUUGUGCAAUAAUAUACCAUGGAGAUAAAUUAUUUCAUAGCAAAAGCUUAUGUAUUAAAGCUUUCCAAAAUGCAACAGAGUGUAGCAGGGAAGAAGAUUAAAAUAACUGGGUUCCCUUCCAAGCUCUAAAACUGAAUUUUUGUGUAACCAGGGCUAGUCAUUCAGUCUCAUCAAGCCUCAGUUCCUUCCUCCUCUUCUGCCUGUCAUCUUGAUGGCGUUGGUGUGCUUCCUGCCUGUAAAGCAUAUGUCGCAUCCUUACUCUUAGCAUACAUUUUUAUUAUCACCUAAAUACUGUGGCCUUGAUCUCAGACAAAGAUUUUGAAACUGUUGUAAUAAGAAAUUAAAAAUAGCUUGAGUGAUAUUUUGACUGACAUAUAAACCCAAAUCCCUCCGCCUAAUCUCUCAAAUCUACCUGCUUUGUUUAUAUCCCAAGGCAGUGAGUGCCAAAGAUUAACUAUAUACUGAGUGAUAUUUUUCCACAAAUUUUAAACUGUUUCCUUUAAAGGCAAGGGUUUUUGUUUUUUAAUGGGCAAGCAGGCUCAUUAGUACCAGGUGAUUCAUUUAAAGCACAAUUACACAGGGAAUUGGGCUAAUUGAUUGGAUAACCCUAGAUUCAUUUGUAAAAACACAGUCCUCAAACCUGAAGUGCUUGGACUUAGCGGUAGUCGUGUACUGAGAAGUUUUCUUUAAAAGCAAACGUUUAGGUUAAUGGGAUCCAUAUGAUAUGAAUUCCUAAUAACUUUACCAUGGGUGGGCUUAUCGAACUGCUUAUCAUAACAGAAGUCGGGCCAUUUCAAAGGAUCUUUCUUCUGAGACUUUCUGAAGACUUUUCUUUCAGCUCAGAUCUUUAGAAAAUUCCACUAACUCUCCAUUGAGAAAAUAUUUGAGCUGUCUCUCUCUCAUGCCAUGAUUCAAAUGGAUUCUUUUUAAAAUGUGUAUUUUUUAACCCUCUGAUAGCAGGACAAAGUGUUUGGCGCAGAUGUGUCCUUCUUCGGGAGGGGAACAGCUUUGAGAAGGAGCAUUUGGGAUGAUGCUCUGCAGCCCAGGAGGUCACACUUUGUGGGUAAAAGUGGUCCAUGGCUUGGACUAAAGGUCAGGCACUUGCCUGCCAAUCAGAAGAACUCCAGGGUAAUUUAGGCAUGCUCAAAGGCAGGCAAGUCAGUGUGUGUCUUUCAGCUGACCUCAGUGGGUUUUGAAUCAGGCCCAGAGAUUCGAAUCACCAUCCCUAAUUGCAGAGAGGAAAAAAAUUACUGCAAACAUCACUUAAAGAGGCAUUUGAGUAAUUAGCGAUGGAAGAGACAGGGCCACCUUGAUAGUCUGAAGAAAAAACUCUCUGCGCAGAAUAAAAUCAUCUUAGAAGCAAACA